CCAGAGGUCGGGGAUUACCGGAGCCGUGGAAGACAAGCCUCAUGCUAUCAUGCCAUUCUUCUGUCAGGCUCUCAACACUUCCCCGGUUUUCUUUAAUGGUCAGCAUAGACAAUCGGUGGUUUUCAAACAUUGUCAUUACCGUGCGC